UUACAAGUUCCAAUCAUUUAACGUUGUAAUAUUAUUAUUUUUGGUACAUUAUAUGUAUCAAAAUUACGAGUUUUUAAUAGUGCUUUAACAUUUAAUCAUAGUGACAGAAAAGGGAAAGAAAACAUAAUUAACCUAUAAUUCGAAUCUAAAGUCACGUGGAUGGAAAUUCAAAUUCGUAGGCGUUACGUUUUGGCUGUCGGUCAGGAAUCGGGAUGCAUUGAUAAGUGAAUAUUAUAGAUUUUCUUGAACAAAAAGGUAGUUAAAGUGUUGGACAUGCUCUCAAAGGUCGGAGGGACGGAAACACGUGAAUAUGUAAAAAGAAACAUAUGAAAUGAAAAUGAUGUCACACACGCUAUUGGACGCUACAAACGCUACAUAUCCCCCGGACAGACGAGUGGUGCUGAUAGAAGGUCAUAUCUUAAAGCAUCACACCUCAAAAUUCGUGCUAAUUCUCAUGGAUAUCUAAAAGUAUAACUUUGUGAAGUAACUAAAAGGCAGCAAUUUAUACAUUACUGACAAUAAUCAAAGGAGGUCAAAAUAUGCAAAAUGGCACUAAAUGUUUAAGAAAUGCUGUAGAAAUAUAGUUAAAGUACUGAAAAUCUGUCAUAAAUUGCUUGAAACAUUAUUAUCAGAAUCUUUUAACUUUUCUUAAAAUUAUAAUAUUUUCAUUAUUUUGUUUGAUAAGGCAAACUUUGAUAGAAAUGUGCAUACAUUGUUUUGUUCUUUAAAUUUGUACAUGUUUUCUUAGUUUCAUUUAUGUCAUUGUUUUUGUAAUACUUUUUGUUUUGUAAUUAACUUAUUUUAUGUUUUAUUUUGUUUAAUUUAUGAAAAUUAUUUAACCUUGCAAA